UAUAUUUCACUUCUCAUUUGUUCUGAAAUUACAACAUUCUCUUGGGCAACAACAUCUCUAUAAGGAUUUGCUGAUACAUGUAUUUCUCUUUCAGAAUGGUAUCUGAGCUGCAUGUAAACUGCAACAAUUGACAUGCUGAAGAUCUGGAAUUUGAUCAGUUAAUAGGGACAGAAAGGUUACUUACCUUGCUGCUGUAUAUUGGAUCCAUUUUAACAAAGCCUUCCUGGCACUUCCUUGGACCUUGGUUACCACCUUCCGUUUGCUUGGGGGACUUGCAGUUUCUGAACUGACAACGCUCUCCACAGAAGAAGCACUGCUAGACAAUGACUGAAGCUGUGGAAGAUUGCUGAGUACUCAAAUAUAGAACCAGAAGAUCAUAUCCAAGAAGUUGUGCAACCAUCUCACAGAUUCAGAAGGGAGGAACUUCUUACCAGUUUCUGCCCUGAAAGAACCUCCAAAAGGGCUAUCAGCAUUACCCCAUCCUUGAUGUCUUCAAACAAAUCACUGACCAUCAUGGGAGGAUUGCGCUGAAAAGUGAGAAGACCAGAUAUUAUAAAGGUGGCAGCAGCAGCACUGUCUUCUGUCUCCCUUCCUUUCAAACAGAAGGGCAAGGAGUGGUUGAGUCCCCUUCUUUAUGUUUUACAACAUUUAAUAUUGUUUUGCUUUUUAACCAUUUCUUUGCCACCAUAUUGUUUGUCUCUUUAACAUUUCUGGAAAAAGCCUUCUGCUCCCUAAAAUAACCAAAGAAACAAAACAGUUGCCUAGAGACUGUAAAAUACACACAUUUUACUAAUGUACUAUUGCAGUCAUGUUUCAACCUACUGGCAUAUUUUGCCCGGUGUUACGUAUGUCACAGAAAUUUCACUCUCCUUGUUUGAGAAACGAGCUGUGUGAAGAAAAGAUCCCUAAAGCAAUGUGGCUGUCUGAGCAGUUCUGCUGCUUUCUUACAGCUAAAUGUUGUUUCACUAAAUUGCCAUAUUUUCUCUCCUUUCUUUCAUCCAGGCCUUGCAGGCUUCAGUGCUGUUAGCACUAUGACAACUUCUACUUAAGACAAAUUGCUUAACAUAUGUCUUUAAGUUUGCAAACACAAGAAUGACAACACUGAAAAACAUGUAAACAGAUGAUGUUUCAGGAAUUUUGAGUAACAAAGUCCCACCUCUGAACUCCAAUUUCUUGUAUACAUGUCAGUUUGUAGCCAGUUUGGCUAGCAUCUGGUCAGCACUUUAACGAUCACACAGUAUUUCACAUUAACCAAAAAUUUGGAGUGAAACUUGGUUCUGCUGAAUUAAAGAAAACAAACACUUUCCAGCUUCUAUGACUUUGUUAGAAUUUAUAUUCCUGCUAAUUCACAUAAUGGUAAUAUUUAUAUCUGCUAAUUGACUGAAAGGACAGACUAAAAAUUUAGUUUUAAAUUAUCUUCUGCUUAAUAAUUUGUGCUUGGGGUGCUUCUAAAAAAAAUGCUUGUACAAAAUCUUGAAUUAUUAUUUCUCUGCCAUAGAAUCAUACGUUUGAUGAUCCUAAGAAAUGAAACGCUGCUCAUGAAAAGGUAAAUAUGCUAUUAAAAAACCAGCAGACAGCAAAAAUUUCUACCUCCCAUAACCAAAACACCCAGCCUUCAGUGUUCAGUUUUGAUGAACUAAAACUUCAUUGAGACACAGUUUUGGUCUAAUGUGGACUUCAUUUGAGAUGUGGUAUGCUCUGAUAGCUGCAAUAAUAAAGAGUGUAUGUUCUCAAAUACAUGAAACAGCACUAUUGUAACAUAUUGUAAGAGUAUAUUUAACCAUAUUACUUUUUGUUUUUCUAGUAAUGUAAUACAUUAUGGAUAAUGUUCUUCCUUGAUAUAACACCAAAGAAAUCAGUGGAGCAAUCGGGUCACUGGAGUUUAAUUUGUCCCAUUACAGGCAGUUGAUGAAAAUAUAAUUAAUCUUCUUCACCUUUUGUGUUAUCACUUCCUCUUUGAAAUCUGAAACAGCUUUGGUUUUAUCAGUAUUAUUGUGUGAUCUAAAGUGAAGAAAUAUGUAUUAAAAUAAUACAUCAUUAAAGACAACCAUCUACUAUCCUAAUCCAACAGCAGCUGAAGGCCUGAAAAAUUUCGUCAUAGAACUAAAUGCUCCAGUAGCGAAGCUUGUCUGAGUGAGUGAAGUUUAGAGUGAAGCACUCUAAAGUAAGGAACAGAGAGAUCUUUUUAGGAAGGAUGAUUUAGGAUACCUUCAGAUUAACAGGUAUGAGAGAUUUACAGUGCCUCAUAAAACCUGUAAUAUGACUGUCAGAUGACCUGUUUGAGAACAACACAGAUCCCUUCCAGCCUGAGUGCUCUGGUAUUCUUAUUCUCAAUGCACAGUACACUCCAGAAUUUGUGUUAUUCCAAAAUAAAGUCACGAUCUAUCUGGCAUUCAUGUGCAAACCAAAUGUGGGAUGUACCUCUUGUUCCUGGGGUGCAUCAUUUCAUGCUACAGAUACAACCUCUCAUCAUCCAUUUCAAGUUCUUGCUUUGAAACACCCUUCGUGGGUCACUCCUUUCUGACAACAUUUAGAAAAACUUGAUUUGAAGGCAUCACACUGAAGUAAAGCAGGGAAACUACCUCCAAAGACAUCGUUCAGGUAAACAAACACAGUACUCUCCUUCCAACAUAAAUCAAAUGUUAGUAUGGGGGGAAACUAAAGAAAGGAUGAGAAAGCAGUCAAACAAAUAAGAGAAAGAACAAAACAACCAUCAAAUGAAUUACAUCAAAGUCCACAAGACUGACUGUUCUGAACUCUGAGAAUCAAAGAGUGAAAUUUACUUUUUGUUGCUGCGACCUUUGCAUAAUUGCACUGUCAAUGUUUACCAUCACGCAUCAUUUACAUUAACACUAAUACAACAGGGAACAAAAGACAUGUAAAAUAGCCUUGUUGCAUGGUCUUCUAUAUGCAAUACCUCUUAAGUAGAAAAUUAGUUAACUAUAGAUACUAACAAAAUGGUAUUGCAUAAUGCAAUUUAUAAGGUAUUUCACUAUCUGAAGAUGUUAACAACUAAUUAUAAGGAGAUAGGACCCUGUUCGUUUGUCGUUUGGUGCUCAACAAUUCUUUGCCUCAGUUUUCACUGGCAGCCAUGCUUCUCAUGGCUCUAAUGUCCCUGUACCUCUAGGUGUUGAGUAAAAUCGCCCCCUCCGUAUAAUAGCAGAGCAAGUAAAAGACCACCUCAUGAAACUGAAUGGGUUCAAAAAAUAUGUGUCCCAGUGCCCCGAACAAACUAACUGAUGCAGUUACCAAGCCACUCUCCAUCAUGUCAGGUGACAUCUCCAGUGAUUGGAAAACAGGAAAUACCACUCCCAUUGUUAAGAAAGGAAGAAAGGAAGAUACAGGGAACAACACAUUGGUGAGCUUCACGUCUGUUCCUGGGAAAAUCAUGGAAUAGAUCAUCCUGGAAGGUGUUAGAAAGAUAGACAGGGAUAGAACAAGUGGAACUAUUUUUAAACUAAAAGAGGGGAGAUCUACAUUAAAUGUUAGGAAUAAAUUCUUUACUCAGGAAGUGGUGAGGCACUGGAACAUGUUGUCCAGAGAGGUUGUGAAUGCCCCAUCCCUGGUGGUGCUCAUGGUGAGGUUGGAUGGCACCCUGGGCAGCCUGGCAUAGUGGAAGGUAUCCUUACUCAUAGCCAGGGGGUUAAAAUUAGAUGAUCUUUAUAAACCCUUCCAUCCAGUCAGUAAUUCUGUGAAAUAUCUGUUAAUUCCAUAUUUGAGAUUUGGAUUUUACAAAACAUAGUUUACUGUGUCAGAAGAGGAAUAUCUAAUGGUAGUAGAUCUAUCAUAUGUUUCUUUCUGUGAGGCUUGUCAGUCAUAUUUUUUUUUGUAUAUACUGACGCUCUUUAAAUAAUUCAUAGUAUUUCCUGAAAGCUGCAGGAAAUGAGAUCAGUUUGUAAGAGAAACAGGUAUAAGCAAAACACAUCCUCAUCAGUUCCUGCUAGGGAUCAAUUCUAAAUAUAGCUAUUUAAAUAAAUGUUUAAUGGGAGAAAAAAAAAGUAACCUUUACAAUUAAUUCUGAAUUCAUAUUGCUCCUACAAAGCACACGAAUUUGGUUGUAGGGUGUGCCUUUCGUGAUACGACUUUUCCUAAAUGUCAUCGCCACUAUAAACUAACUACGGUACUGUACUAAACUUGUUGAAAGAGUAUAUACAAUACAAGAUGUAGAAUAUCAUUUUGAUUUCCUGGAGAAGCUUAUGUAAUACCAAAAUCAAGCAACGAGUCAUAGGAAAUUUCAGUGGAGACCUGAUGAACUGUUAAAUUAAAGUCUGCUGCUCAUCAAAGAAUAUUCUGAUUUUGACCAAAGAAUUUUGUCCAAAAGCUUAUAAGUAAGAUAUUAUUUAAUAUUAUAGGAUUUCAAAAGCUUAUUUCAUGCACUUCUCUAACAUUCUUUUUGUCUGGUUUAAGAAUUACUUCAAUAAAUUUUUCAUGAAGUCUUUUCAGCAUUCAGUAUAUAGCGUUUUAGGAUCAUUACAGCUUCUUAUGUUGCUGAAGUUACACAGUUACAAGCAUUAAGCUAAAAUCUGGACUACAUUCAAUAUCUUCAAAGUUAGAAAAUUUUAAGUUAGUUUUCACUCUUGGCUUUCACUGAUUUUAGUUACUAUUUUGGCUGCAUACCAUGGCUAUCAGAUGAGUAGGUAUUAAGUCCUGUUGAGUCUCUAAAAUAAGAAGCAUUCAAGAGAUUUUUUACUGAUUAUAGCUCUUAAAGGAAAGUCAAAACAACACAGUGCUUUAUUCUCUGGUAACCAGUAUAAUCAUAGAACGGCCUGGGUUGGAAGGGAUCUUAAAGUCCACCCAGUUUCAACUCCCUGCAACAGGCAGGGCUGUCACGCUCUGGAUCAGGCUGCCCAGGGCCUCAUCAAACCUGACCCUGAACACUUCCAGGGAUGGGACAUCCACAGCUUUUCUGGAUAACCCGAGCCACUGCCUCAGCACCUUCACAGUAAAGAAUUUCUUCUGAUAUCUAAUCUAAAUCUACUGUUUUUUUGUUACAUAAACCAAUAUUCCUUGACCUGUCAGUAUACUCCUUGAUAAAGAGUCUCUUGGUAAGCUUCACUGUUGUGUUCAACAUUUCAUUUCUCAUUUGAAUCUUUGCUACAGGAAUAUUUUCCUGUAAGAAAUUAUGUUUUCAUGCUCCUUGCUAUUAACGUCUCCUUUUAUGAUUGAAGUCAGAGGAAUUGGGCCCUAAAUCUUACAUGACUAGCUCCUUCACACAAGUUAAUUUUGAGAAUGCUAGUUCACCCUUCAUUUAACAUUACAGUUACAUGUAGUACUUGUGAAAACAUACAGUGAGUAGAAAGCUGUAAAUCACAUUUGUUAUCAUGCUGGUAAAAUUGACUUAGCUUUAAGUUUGUCAUUCUACCAGUUUUUAAGUUUGCCUUUAAGUUUCCCUCUGUCAGUCACUAAGAUAACUAGAAGUCUUUGUGUUUUCCCUUUGAAAAAGACAGAACUAUGUAAUUUAUUUAUGAAAACAGAUGAGGUUCUUGUGUGUGAAUACCUAGUUACGCUGCAUGGGAGAGUUAUAAAUUUUGCUAUAUCCAAUUCUUUUUCAUCCUUUUUAUUUUCCGUGAAACAUAUCAAGCUUUCACGGUCUCAGAAGCCUUAAUUUAAGGUUUAAUAUCCAGAUUUAAUUUAGUGUUACAAGAGCCUUGCAUGUAUAUAACCUAAAAAUAUCCCUUCUGAAUUUUAUUUUGACAUAUCAAUCACCUGCUUUUGUUUCUCCAUAUUUUUUCCCUUUUAAUAGAAGUACAAAAUACAUACCAUUUAUUUCAUUAUAUAUUUGUUGUUUGCUCAUUGUUUUCAAUGAGUUUACAAUACUUUGGUGAGUAAAAAUAUUGAAGUUAUCUCUAUACAAGAUGUUAUUUGAUUGAGUUAAACCGACUUUCAGGUUGUGUUCAAAAGCUUUGUACCGCUGAAGAUGACAAAGUGAAUAAAAGGUGUGUGCAUCUGUUGUUUUCAAAGAGGCAUGUUUGUCAUCUUCCUUAUUCAAUUAAUCCACUAUCUAAAAAUUUAAUCAUGUCCAAUCCAAUCCAUAUAUAUAUAUAUAUAUAUAUAUAUAUAUAUAUAUAUGUGUGGAUAUAUAUAUAUAUAAGACUUAUUUGGUGUAAUUUCACCCUAUAUUUUAAACUUGGAAUUAAUAAUGAUUCCUCAAAUAUACAUAGAGGAGAAAUUAACUUAUUUCUACAGAUUUGAAGGCUGGAAGUCAGUGACGGAGAGAAGUCUGGUUCCAGAAACUUAGAGAAAUAUAUAUAAAUAGCAUGGGGUUAGAAAGCUUGAAUGUUCUGGUCCUGCUACACAAGCAUAUCUCAUUUAUCAUUAAUAGGACUGCACAAAUUAAACUGGACAGCCAGGGGACAAAUAGAGCACUUUAAUCUGUUAUCUUGACCCUAAUAUCUGCAAGUGGGUGGCAAAGAGACAGUUUGAGGUUGCUGAGUCAGAAUCACAGAAUGGAUUCAGGUAGCUUGAACUCCUGAGGGCACAGGGACACAUGCAGCCUAAUAAUAAAAGCUGACCCAAGAUGAAACUGUUAUACUACCUGUUAGUAACCAUCCUUGAAGCUCUUUCUGCCACGUUUGUUCCCUGCAGUACGGUGCCUUGUGGCUGAGGGCACAGACCAUGCUAAGGCUGCUUUACCUCAACUUUUCUUUUCAAGUAUCCCAUAAUUUACUAACUCUUUUGUAUAUAAUGUGUUUUUAUAAAUAUAUAUAUUUGGAUUAAGAAAUACAACUUCAAAAAUAGUAGCAUUCUACUGUAAGAGAGAAUAUAAACAAUCAUACCAACUCUUUCUUACAGAGUCCAAUUUGUAAACUCAUUUCAUUUACAAGUUCUGUUCAUUGUUAAUGACUUGUAACCCUACUCUCAAAGCUGUUCUUCACUUUUUAUAGAUAAAAAGACAAAAAUGAUUUUUUUCAAAAAAAAAAGACUCAAUGAUGUUUUGCUAAGAAAACAUUAAUUUCUCUUGAUUUUGAAUUUUCAUGCACUUACCAGUAUUUUUUCAAAAACAUUCAAACUCUAUUCACUGAUUGAGCAUUUCUCCAUGUAACCAUGGUUUUAGAGUUACAGUUACUAUACUAUUAACCUUAGAUGCUGGGUUUUUUUUUAAUCCUUAUUGUUGUUGUUAUUAUAAUUUCCUCCUAUUAUUUUUUCAAUUAACAUGUUUACCAGAUUAGUAAAAGUGGCAAGUUCAUUCAGGCAUUCUUGCUGUUCACCUUCAUGGUGUCCAUAUGAACUUGUUUCGGUCAAAACACUUCCCAAGCAGUUUAGAAAGUUAAAAAUAAAACAGAAGGAACAAAUGCUACUACAACUUCUAUAAUAUCCAUAUUUUCCAUAAAUCCUGAGUUUGAAAACAUUCCUACUUAUGCUAGUAAAUGAAUGAUAAUGGAAAGAUCACAUUCUAUAAUUCUCAUCAAAAAUGAUAAGAAAAGCAGCAAAUACUAACUGAAAGUAUAAAUACAGUUACAGUUCUAUUACUAAAGUUCAACAACCAGGAGGGUUAAUAAGUUGCAUAUGACAAAAUAUUCUUCAUCUAACUGAAGACAAAGUUUUAUAAAUAAUGAUGGGAAAAAUCAGUCUGGCUUGGAUCAGCACUUCUAAUAAUUAUGCUAUUUCAGAAUUAGGGUGCACGUAGCUCAGAAGGAAAGUAAGAUUAUUUAGAAUAAACUGAGUUACUAUAUAAAUAAAUACAUCAGACAUCUUGUUAUUAGCCUCAGAAUUUUUGUGCACUAAUAACCAUACUAAUAAUAUUUACAGUACUUGUCAGUCAAAUCUAUCACCAUCUAAAAACAGUGCCCUUUUAACUCUCUUGUUUCAAUAAACAGGCUGUUAAUAAGUAGAGAAAAGGUUUUAACAAGAAGUAGUCCUGAAAAUGUGUACAGUACAAAUAAUUUAGGUAAUGUUAGUAGCUUUACAGUAGCCACAAGCAAAUGUUUCUCCACCAAAGCCGGUAACAUUACUUAUUUCAGGAAACUGCUAUUCUCACGGGUAAAACUUCUGGCAAAUAGUGAAAGCCUUGGAAGAAAGCUGAGUUUCCUUGCAAUCUUGAUUCUUCUGGACAAAAUAUAUUGGUGAUGAGGCAGCUAGAAAGCUGCUCCCUAAUAGGCAUAUGCAUGUGAGUUAUAUGGUCACAGACUGUGAUAAUCUCUGAAGGUGUCUCCUUCCCUUCUUCAUACCAAGAACUUUUUCUGUCUGUUGUCAGUUCAUCAGGUACUGCUGUUUCUCUGCAGUCAGUGCAAGGCCAGUAUUUCAUGACAUUCCAUUUUGGUGGUGCUUCACUUUUUAUGGGGUUCAAAGAGCAGACAACUCUGUCUAAAAAUAGGUCUACUUCCAGGAGUUUCCUUAUCAUAAUUCAAGGGCCUCCACACAAUGGAGAUGUUAUAUCUUUCCACUUCCUUUUUAAAUAAUAAAAACUGCAACCAUCCUUCAUAAGAGCCAAGUAACCUAAAUAUUGGAUUUUUAGGUUACAAUUCUUAAUGUAAAUGCAAGGAAAUCCUACGUGUUUCACAGACGCAUUUGUACUUUCUACAGCUGUUGUGAACCCAGAAAAUGCAUUUCCAUGCAUUAAAAAAAAAAAAAAAAAAAAAAAAAGCAAAACACAAAGACUUAAGUUUGAGCUUCAAAACUUUUGAAUGGAAUGGGUCACUGGUUCUCUUUUGAG